rnacentral:misc_RNA from 1 species
AGCACCCGGGUGACGGGAGGCACACCGCAGUGCGUGGCAUCACAGGGCGCAGCAACCCCGCCACGCUCUGCGUGUGGGGAGAAGCCAAGCAGCCUCCACCUAUCCCAUGCCAAUGCCGAGCGAACCGCUGGUGGUGACGGGGCCCAGCACCCACGACGUAGGGGAGUCAGAGCGGUGCAUCGCUACGGAUGUCGGCGGUCGGGUCCUGGACGGCGGUGCGUCGGAGCGGCCUGCGACGGCGCACGUGCUUGCGCCUUUUAUAUGUGGCAGGCAGAGCUUCAACGCGACUUGAGCGUGCCCCACACACCAGGCCCUCGCACUGCCCACCUGGUGGGAGGAGCCCCGAGUGUCGCGCCGAGGGACGCCACCAGGGGUGGCGACCGGGGAUGGUGGGCGCGGCUGUGAGGCGACCCGCAACGCGGGUGAGUGGGUAGAGGUUUGGGGCAGGGGCUGUGCGCCGGUGACCGUGUCGGCGCACUGCUGCAACUCGUGUCUACGGCUUCUUCGCAGCACGGGAUGAGACCUGUGACUCGCCGGUUGGUGGGGGUGGGGGGCUCAAGAGCGGUGUGGAGCUCGUGUCGCACGGUACAGAAGGUGGACACGCUGCAAGAGAAAAGUGUCAUUGUGCCACGAACACGCAAGAAGUAUACGCGCAUGCAGCACCACAGCUCAUCUUCCUCUUCUGAACUGCGGUUGUGCCAAAGGCACCGGGCCCACCAACACGGCUCGGCGUCGUUCAGUCCACUGCAGGCAGCGCGGACUCAGUCCGGGAUCACGCUUAACAUCGCGCUGCGGCGCGCCCAGAACUGCAUGUGGACGAGCGUAUUUGUUGAAUUGUGAGCAGGAUGCGUAGUAAGCUGGCACAAACGCCAGGAUGACCGCGAGUCCAAUACGGGACACCACCAGCCCAGACCUGUCCGCCGGUACCAAGAGCCCGCUCUCCCAUCGCCGAGGGCGGGCUGCAGACUCUUCGCUUCCCCACAGAGUGAGUGCCAGACUCCGACACGACGCACGGAAGAGGAGGAGAUCAGCAGGACCCCCAAUGGGAAGUAAGGACAGCAUCGGUGUGUCUGGCGCGACGCGAGCCCUCGUCGCUGCCCUUUCCUUUUAGUGCGUGCGUGCUCCGGUGCUGGAUGGGUGGGUGCAUUGUAGGGGGUUCCCCUCAUUCCCUUCCUCCUGGCCUGUUCACCUUGGCCAAAGUCGCAGCAGAGCCCCUCCGGCUUUCCUUCGACCUCUCGUUCCCGUCUCUCGCUUGGGCGGUAGCUGCCCUCAAGUCGUUGCUCCUUUCCUCCCCUUUCUCUCUCUUCGCUUUUUGGCCUAUGGUUUAUGAGCGUGCGCACUCGGAUGGAGCGCUUCCGUCUUGCUGCGCGCUUAUACGCAUCUUUCCUAAGGGAAGGUUCUUGCGGCACGUAUGAUGGGCCACGGCUGUGCGCCGGCAGCCCCGGCGAAGUCCUCGCUCUCUCUCUCCCGCUUCACUGUUGUGAAGCCGCGGCUGAUGCCGCUGCGUCACAUGCAACGGUGCGUGCGUUCAGCCGUUCUUACGCUUACUCACCUCCGCAUCUCUCCGUUCUCCCUCUUCUUAAAUCUCCAUCAUCGUAUGAACACUCGCACACAUACACACACACACACAUAUAUAUAUAUAUAUGCCAUCACACGGUUGCGUCGGCUGCACAG